CCCUUAUCGCCCCUCGUCUCUCCCAAAUCGCCGCCACCAACCACCGCGUCACCCUCCUCCUCCUACCUCGCCGCCGGCCCUCCCCUCCCCUCCUCCCACAUCACAGCUCUGGUGGCUACCGGAUCUGCCAUAUCCCCUACCAACCCAUCCCUCACACAUCCCAUCUCUCUCUUGACGCAGCUCCUCGUCGCGCCACCUCCGGCGGCUGAUUCAGGCGACCUUCGGCGAGUCCCGCCAUUGCGAAGCACAGCCCGACAUCCCCUCACACAGCGGAGCGCUCUCAGGCGGCGAGAUCCAGCGCUCGCGGCCACCAAAGCCCACCCGCGACCUUCCCCUGAUGGCUAGGGCUUCGGGCGUCGGCCCCGGCGCCGGUGGCCAUGUCGUCCUCUUCUCACCGGUGAGUGAAUCCCCUUCCCUGGCUUCGUCCUCUCUCUCUUCCCCUUUCUCUAACCUCUGUUCUUCUCUUCUCCUCUAGACGUCUAGGUAUGCACCCCCGAUUCUAUUGCAGCUAAUCCCUGUCAAAAAAGUUUGGCCAUUGUGCAAUUCAUUGACGAACACUGAUAGGCAUGCAGACUGACUUCCCAUCUCCGUUGAUUUACAUUCAUGCACUGAUUGCUAUUCUAUUAAAUUAGUACAGUAAUUAUUAGAUAUCAUUGGAGCAUCAUAUUCUUUUUAAAUCUUAUACGCUGCUAACUCAUCAGUGCUUCAUAGAUGAGUUGGUAACCGUUUUAAUUUUUUUGAUGCAGAGAAACACUAGUUCAUAUAUGUGGAUCACAUAUUAAAUAGUCUACUGCCAGAGUUAUAAUAUUUAAGGCCGGAUCCAUAUAGGUCUCUGAAUGGCAGUUUGGAUGAGUUACUAAUCAAAGUUUUUUGUUGCAAUUUCACACUUUUUGGAGUCUGAUGAUCAGGUUAUUUAGGUGGAGGUAGUAGCUUGCUAAUGGUGGCUUUCACGUCCAGCUCAAAUACUAGAGGAUGUGGACCUGUUGGUGGAAGCACGUACACCUUUGUUUUAGUGAGUAGGUUUCCAAAGGAAGAAAUACUCAAUGCCACUUUGUGGUUUUCAAUGUGCUAGUCUCUACAUUCAUAGCACUAUCGAGAUGGAGGCGAACAUCAUAGAUGGCUGGAGCUGCGAGUAGAUUUGUCCAAGAUACGACAGUGUUCGUAGUCAUGGUUCUGGUAACUAUCCACAAUCUCCAUAUCUUAACUGUUUGUGAAGAUGGAAAUGCAAGUAAUGUUCUUCUUAGAUGCUCUUGCCUUUUUGAUUCGUACAUUGCUAAACUGACCACUGAGCUCUCACCACUUUGAUUCGUAAAUUGCUGAAUUAUCCACAUGAACUCUUGCUGUCAUGGUUCAUAAAUUGUUGAAUUUCCCAUUAUGUUGCUUGCACUGUUCCACAUGAGCAGUGUCUAUUGUGCUUUUAACCCGUCAACUAAGUAGGUACUAUGUUAUUAGUGGCUUGCUUUUAGGCCACAGUCACAUCUGUUUAUUUUUCUUCGAGUCUGUUUAUGUUUGUUUGUUGGCCUGAAGUAGUAUAUUGAGUUGUAAGGGAAUACUUUCAGGUAAUCUAGCCGGACAACCAAUGUUUCGGAAGUAAUGACCCAUUGUAACAAGUAAUAUUUCUUAUUUGUUGGGAAACCCAUCACUAUUUGCAUCAUGUCAAUGCAUUGUGUAUUAACAGUUCAUUUUGUUAUUUUCUUUGUAGAUUCAAAAGAUAUAUGGAAGCUUCUAUGGGUGCGUGGCAAGUAUACUACAAUGGUGAUGAUGAUGUCCCGGUUCACGAUGAUGACGAUGAUGGCUGUUUUUAGUUUUAGUUAUGAUGGCUGUUUUUAGUUUUAGUUAAGUUGUAGGGAUGAUGUUCCUGUUGGAUGAUGGUACUUGGUUAAGUUUUUGUUAAGUUGUAGGGAUAACGAUGGAUGUUUCAAUUUAAGUUUCGUUGUCGAGAAUAUUUAGAUUAUGCAUCAUAUUUGGAAGUUAUUCCUCAUGUAAUAUCAACAAUUGU